AGGAAAGCAUUGUGAUUAGAGGAUCAGAAACUCUCCCACCUUAAUCUUACUUGAAGGGCAGAUCUUUCUUAUCUAGAAACCACAGAGCCUGAGAUCUCUGCUUCUGAAUCCUUGGUGAAAAUUGUCAUUAUCCCAAGAACCAUGCAGAUUGGUCUCCAACCAUGGCUGAAACUGCUGUGUCAUAGUAUAAGGAAUCUCUCUAAAACUCUUAAACUCAAGCCUUAGUCACUGAAAAGCUAUUGGGGCCUAAGCUUCCCCCACUCACAAUCGAUCUGUUGGAGCUGAACUUGCUUUGCUUAGUGACAUCUGCUGUCCCUGACUCUUCAAUGUGCCUUCAGCAUCACAGGGUGAGU